rnacentral:sRNA from 1 species
GGCCGCCGAAGUUUCGCUUUGGCGUUGGGGGGCGCGGAUGGGUGCUCGCCGGGGCCCUGGCCCGGCUCCCCUGGGCGGCCCGCGCGCGUUUCAAUGGGCGCGGGCGAUGCCCACAUUGUCGCUGUGUUUGGUUGCUAGAUCGAGCCUGCGUGCUGCCGAAGCAGGGCGCCGAGUCCAUGCGAACUGCCAUCUGAUCCGCUCUUAUCAAUGAAGCAGCCGAUCAUGGCGGAUGGCCCCCGGUGCAAGAGGCGCAAACAAGCCAAUCCCAGGAGGAAAAACGUGGUGAACUAUGACAAUGUAGUGGACACAGGUUCUGAAACAGAUGAGGAAGACAAGCUUCAUAUUGCUGAGGAUGACGGUAUUGCCAACCCUCUGGACCAGGAGACGAGUCCAGCUAGUGUGCCCAACCAUGAGUCCUCCCCACACGUGAGCCAAGCUCUGUUGCCAAGAGAGGAAGAGGAAGAUGAAAUAAGGGAGGGUGGAGUGGAACACCCCUGGCACAACAACGAGAUUCUACAAGCCUCUGUAGAUGGUCCAGGUAAGUGUCUAAAAUCACUUGGCCUCUUCCUGUACCAUCUUCACAUCUUCAACUAAUCUGUUCCACCUAGCAGAUCGCCCACAACCAAAUAAUUAAAAUAUUUCUUUCCAUUGCGCCCUUGCAGAAUAGAGAUACCAAAGCUGGUGACAGAUUAUGAAGUGAUAGUAAUGUUAUCACAUUGCGGCAGUUACAUCUUAGGAAGGGAUUAUAUUU